rnacentral:rRNA from 1 species
CACGUAGGGCGCAAGCGUUGUCCGGAAUUAUUGGGCGUAAAGAGCGCGUAGGCGGCCCGUUAAGUCGGAUGUGAAAACCCGUGGCUCAACCACGGGCCUGCAUCCGAUACUGGCGGGCUCGAGGCAGGCAGGGGAGAUCGGAAUUCCUGGUGUAGCGGUGAAAUGCGCAGAUAUCAGGAAGAACACCGGUGGCGAAGGCGGCGCUCUGGACCGAGACUGACGCUGAGGCGCGAAAGCGUGGGGAGCAAACAGG